AUCACUUCUCGGCCUUUUGGCUAAGAUCAAGCACAGUAUCAGUUAACUCUCCAAACCACCUCUCAAAGUAUUAUAAUUAUUCAUUAAGAAUAUUUUUUCAUCUUACAGAUGUACAAAUGUGGAGACUGAAACUCGAUGUCAAAUGUCAAAGACAGAUUUUAGUCUACUGCUA
ensembl:snRNA U2 U2 spliceosomal RNA